AACCUGGGCAGAGCUAGUUCAGUCAGUGAUUUUCCACCUUCUUUCGCGCGGUUGUAUGUUUGGCGCCAGAAGUUCUCGUGCUCAGUUGCUCUCACAAUUUACCUCAGUUUAAAGUUUUCCCCAAACAACGUUUUCAAAAGCAAUAAGUUACUGUAGCUACAAGUUCAGGGUCAAAGGACCUCAGGGACGACAAUAACAGGCAAGGAUGAGUUCUUCGGAUGAGGAUGAUUUCCAUGAUUUGAAGACCUAUUUCUCAAAGAUGGAAUGGACCCAUCUAGUGAAAUGUGAGAAAGUGCGGUACAGAAACUUGAAGAGGAACCACCUGGCUAUGCUUACUAUAGGGCUGAACUCCCCAGUACCUGCGUUUAUGAGGAGAAGCAGGCCUAAAUUGUUGAACACUGCUCCGCUUUUUGCACCCAGCGACUCAGAGGAGGAUGAGUGGACCCCUCGACUGGAGAGAUGCCCACCAGCAUCCCGGAGCUUCCGACGCCCAACCAGGAGACCAGCAGCAUCUCAGGGAGUCCCUCAGCCUGACAAACCAGCCACACCUGCUACACUUACAGUACAGCAGCCCCCCAGUGGCGAGGAGGCAGGACCCAGUAAUAUGGGGACAGAACCCGUCCAGCCAUUAAUGGAGGAGCUGACAGAAGAAGAAGUGGCCUUCCUCAGAGACGGCAGCCCAGCAGACACCCACAGUGGAGUACAGGAGGGGCUAGGAGCCACGGUGUGUGUUACUGUCAUACACAUAACACAACACACAAUAUAUUUUCAUUCAUGUUGUUUCAAAUCAAAGAUGACGAUGACACACAGACCAAGUGGUCAGUUUGAACUCUCCUCUUGUCUCUUUCCAGGAGGGUCAGAGUGA
rnacentral:lncRNA from 1 species